ACUGUACAAGGCGGUUCCUGGCGCCCACGCAUACAUACGAAAUUACAAUGUUAAAUUGCCUUCGAGACAUCGGCUUGGAUGUAAUUUUCGUACAUUAUUAAAUUACUGGAUACCUAACGCAAAUGGAAAUUUUCCGCAAAAAUAUACGACGGGGGUUAAACAUAUACAAUACGAUAUAAAACGCCAACGUUAGAAAACUGAUUA